CAUAGUUUUGCUGCGAACAAGGCAGUCGAGGAUACAGUGAAUGAACCGGGACGGCCAAAUAUAACAGGUGCAGAGCGUGUGGUGCCUAAUUCGUUUGUAAUAUUAGGCCUAAUUAGCAAUAAAGUCAGAUAACACUGUUAGUUAUUUCUCCGUGUCCGGUGGAAAUCGCUUGCUCACCGAUUGGUGAAGCAGCCUGCCAAUUAGCGUUAUGCGUUCUAAUUGGCCAGUCCUCUCCUCCCGGGAACGCCCCUUUAAAUGUUCAAAGGAGUGUGGAGAUUUCUAUGCAGAAGAAGUGAACGGAACGAACAACGACAGCUGGAGACGCGCUGUGGUACUGCCACCAGUAGUAACAGUAGUAAGAGUAGUAACAGUAGUAAUAGUAGUAACAGUAGUAAUAGUAGAAGAACUAGUAGCAGUAAAAUUAGUAAUAGCGGCAGUACUACUGCUGUGGUCCCAGAAGAACAUUUCUCGACCAUGGAGCUGGAGGAGAAGUCUAAAUACGCUGGGUGGCUGGUGGAAACCAGGUCCAAACUCCGUCCGUGAGUCAGUGAGCGAGCGCUGGCGCACCCGGACUCGCAGGACAGACUCAGAGGGCGCUGCAGACCCUCCGGGAGCAGCCGUGGUUCCGGGAGGUCCAACCCGUCCACACCUCUGCCCUGGGCUGUAAAUAUUACCAUGUGCUCAUAACGCUGCGGCGUGUGGAGGACCAGGCCUGCCUGAUCCGGUGCUGGAGAACAUGCCCGGGCUUCUGGUUCUGUGUGAGGUUUAAGGUUCUCAUUAAUGGCUGAUUAUUGUGAUAGCGACACACCCUGUUGUGGCUAAUGUGCAACACAGCUCAGCACUAAAGCAGCGACGGGGGGACUGUCCUCUGAGCGGAUGUGUUCUGGACCUGAUCGGGCUGGGCCCCAGCUUUUGGGUCAAACGACAUGCAGAAUGGAAGCCAUGAGGUUCUUUUGCUCGUUUCCUCCUGCACACACUUUCCUUUGGACUCGUCCGGCGUGUCUCUGGCCCAAUGGACCCAUCAGUCUGGACCCGGUCCAGUGGACACAGGGACUCACUGAGGAGACAGACUAGUAUCUGAGCUGGUGGGAGGAGCCGGUUCCGACUGCUGAAGCAGCACCUGUGGUUUGUGGGGAAACAUUUAAUGCUGAGUUCUGCAGGAGACGAGAGCUUCCAAGAGCCACCAGCUUGUUUCAACAUUUAGUGGAGACUAGAUGUGUCACGUGUCGGAGUCAUUUGUGGCUGAGCCUCCUGCACAUCUCCUAUAAUUACGACCCUCACUUUUGGGAGGUGGUUUGAAACAUGAGCCUCCUGUUUCAUGUCUGCUGCUGUUUGUUCCAGUUCCAUUUGCUGUCGCUUAUUUUUAGUUCCUCUGUUUCUGUCGUCUCUUUAAAUGUGAAAGCAGCUCCAGGCCUCUCCAGCUUCUGCCAGCUCUUUCAGGGCAGCGCUGGGCGGGUCGGUCCUGCGGGUCGGUGCUGCGGCUCGGUCCUGCGGGUCGGUGCUGCGGGUCCGUCCUGCGGGUCCGUCCUGCGGCUCGGUGCUGCGGGUCGGUGCUGCGGGUCCGUCCUGCGGCUCGGUGCUGCGGGUCGGUGCUGCGGGUCCGUCCUGCGGGUCCGUCCUGCGGCUCGGUGCUGCGGGUCGGUGCUGCGGGUCCGUCCUGCAGCUCAGUGCUGCGGCUCAGUGCUGCGGGUCGGUCCUGCGGGUCCGUCCUGCGGCUCGGUCCUCCGGGUCAGGCCUGCGGGUCGGUGCUGCGGGUCGGUCCUGCGGGUCCGUCCUGCGGCUCGGUGCUGCGGGUCGGUCCUGCAGCUCAGUGCUGCGGGUCGGUGCUGCGGCUCGGUCCUGCGGGUCGGUCCUGCGGGUCGGUGCUGCGGCUCAGUGCUGCGGGUCGGUCCUGGGGGUCGGUCCUGCGGGUCGGUGCUGCGGUUCGGGCCUGCGGGUCGGUGCUGCGGGUCGGUGCUGCGGGUCCGUCCUGCAGCUCAGUGCUGCGGCUCAGUGCUGCGGGUCGGUCCUGCGGGUCCGUCCUGCGGCUCGGUCCUCCGGGUCAGGCCUGCGGGUCGGUGCUGCGGGUCGGUCCUGCGGGUCCGUCCUGCGGCUCGGUGCUGCGGGUCGGUCCUGCAGCUCAGUGCUGCGGGUCGGUGCUGCGGCUCGGUGCUGCGGCUCAGUGCUGCGGGUCGGUCCUGCGGGUCGGUCCUGGGGGUCGGUCCUGCGGGUCGGUGCUGCGGUUCGGGCCUGCGGGUCGGUGCUGCGGGUCGGUGCUGCGGCUCGGUCCUGCGGGUCCGUCCUGCGGGUCGGUGCUGCGGCUCAGUGCUGCGGGUCGGUCCUGCGGGUCGGUGCUGCGGGUCGGUGCUGCGGCUCGGUCCUGCGGGUCGGUCCUGCGGGUCGGUGCUGCGGUUCGGGCCUGCGGGUCGGUGCUGCGGGUCGGUCCUGCGGGUCGGUCCUGCGGGUCGGUCCUGCGGGUCGGUGCUGCGGGUCGGUCCUGCGGCUCGGUGCUGCGGGUCGGUCCUGCAGCUCAGUGCUGCGGCUCAGUGCUGCGGGUCGGUCCUGCGGGUCCGUCCUGCGGCUCGGUCCUCCGGGUCAGGCCUGCGGGUCGGUGCUGCGGGUCGGUCCUGCGGGUCCGUCCUGCGGCUCGGUGCUGCGGGUCGGUCCUGCAGCUCAGUGCUGCGGGUCGGUGCUGCGGCUCGGUGCUGCGGCUCAGUGCUGCGGGUCGGUCCUGCGGGUCGGUCCUGGGGGUCGGUCCUGCGGGUCGGUGCUGCGGUUCGGGCCUGCGGGUCGGUGCUGCGGGUCGGUGCUGCGGCUCGGUCCUGCGGGUCCGUCCUGCGGCUCGGUGCUGCGGCUCGGUCCUGCAGCUCAGUGCUGCGGGUCGGUGCUGCGGCUCGGUCCUGCGGGUCGGUCCUGCGGGUCGGUGCUGCGGGUCGGUCCUGCGGGUCGGUCCUGCGGGUCGGUCCUGCGGGUCGGUGCUGCGGUUCGGGCCUGCGGGUCGGUGCUGCGGGUCGGUCCUGCAGCUCAGUGCUGCGGGUCGGUGCUGCGGGUCGGUGCUGCGGGUCGGUGCUGCGGCUCGGUCCUGCGGUUCGGGCCUGCGGGUCGGUGCUGCGGGUCGGUCCUGCGGGUCGGUCCUGCGGGUCGGUCCUGCGGGUCGGUGCUGCGGUUCGGGCCUGCGGGUCGGUCCUGCAGGUCGGUGAGGUUUGUUGCUGUUGUCUGGUCUCAGGGUUUGUUGACCUUUCAGUGUUGAGAGGACUGCAAUAAGCACCAUCCAGUCCAGAACAUGGGCAUUGACUUGGGUCUGGUUCUAACUGGACCUCUGAACGCUGGGGUUCGUCUCCAGCCACUUUACUGGUCAGAUCGUGAUGCUUUGUCACCUUAAACACUGAGCUGGCUGAUGUUCAUCACGUGGUGGCUUUGGCUGGUGCGCUCCUCACUCGUGGAUGCGUGAUGCCUCCUUUAAACUGGAUCAGAACCGUAAACGCUGUGCUAUGUGGUUGGUGGCCCUUUUCGUCACAGCAGGACAUGCUCAAACGUUUGGCUGUGGCUUCCUGUGUAUCUGUAAAUAGACGUGAGCGUGGCCUUUAGCGUCCACGCCCUGCUACUGUGCUGAAAGGUUCCCAGAGGAACCAAAUGUCGACAUGUGUACGCGGCAGCCAGUUCCCUGAACUAAUACCGGGUACAACUAUGGAAGUCCAUCUGGACUCAACAUCUGUUUUCCAGAUGUGCUGUGAGGGAGGAGAGGAAUCUGGGGACGCUGUGCUUGGCUUUCGUUUUCAUGUAUGUAGAAGAGUUAGGGCUCAACGUGUUUAUCACCGGGUGCAAUCUGAUCACGGAACCAGAAAUGCUCGGCUCCUCGUUUCCCACAAACCAACAGCCGUGUUUCACUGUUGUUGAUCAGGAAACUGUGGUAGAGCUGCAGCUCUUCAGGAAACUGGUUCACAUGUGAGAAAUGAAAGCUCAGUUUAAAGGCGUGUUCUCCUGCUGACAAACGGGGCAUUUUAGGGCGUCUUCUUGGUCCACUUGUAGAAAUAAAUUAAAUGAAACAAUACUGUUUCUAUCAUUUCUCUGUGUCUGGUCAUGACGGGUCAUGACGCCUCCGUGGAGUCUCGCUCGGACUCGGAAUGCCCCGAGCACCUGAAGUGAAUGUUCCCAGAGUGGAGGCAGAGCUGCUUCCUCCUCCUCCUCCAGCUUCACGUGGCAGGUAGAUGAGGGCCAGUCUGCCUGUGGGGGGCGGAGCCACAGGGAGCUGCACAGGUGGAGCCAGGCUCUUUCCCAGUAAACACCCGGCAGGGGAGAGGUUGGAGAGGUGGAACCUCCCAGCUAUUCACAGACUGGUUAAACUGGUUCGGCCUCCGCAGUAUCUGCCAUUAAACCCAGUACAGACGGAGAAAGAAGACUGAAAACGUCCCUGUACCACAGAGAAAGGACGUCAGGCAUGGCCGAGGAUGGGGAGUAUUACGGAAAGCACGGGGAACCGAGGAAGCACGACCCGAACUUCCGGGGGCCGGCUGCAAACAGGGUCACAUCUGAUGAUGAUGAUGAUGAUGAUGGUGGUGGUGGCCUAUUACAGGGUCACGUCUGAUGAUGAUGAUGGUGAUGAUACUCUGUUCCAGGGGCUGCACUGACAUCAUCUGCUGCAUCCUCUUCAUCGUUGC